CUGGUUAUUUCAAAGAAAUACCCUUAUCAUGCUUUAUGCUUUCUUGACUGAGAGGAUCUAGAAGCAUUAACACGCCAGUAGCAUAAAGCACCUCAGCCACCCAGAUCUUGGUUCCUAAAUACCAUCUCCCACUAAAAAGAACCAGAGCUCCUUGGCAAAAUGGCGAUUUCAGGAAUGGGACUGGGGAAGUUUAAGAGUCCCCAGGACUACCCCAUGAAGAAAAACAACUAGGCCGGGGAUAAUGGAACAGCUGAGUGACCAUGUGAUCCUAGCAGCACCUUCCUCUGCCUUACCAAAUGGCUAUCCCACUCUAUGGUACUGCUGUCUGCUCAGUUCUGCUCCUGGACUACACUAGAAGCACUGUGAGGACAGGACCCAUGAUUUCCCUUCUCUCAUACCAUGGAUGAGAACUGUUUUGAACACCAGAAUUCACUUCCUGGUGACUGUCCCCUGACAAUACAACUCAGCAGCACAGUUCCGUGACACAGAGCUUUGCUUCGCCAGGUGAUUCUUUAAUUCGAAUUGAUGCCAUGUAACCAAGGCUGAAACCAUGUAAGCUCCAGCCUGUAAAUCUCAUGGCCUUAUUUGGGAAACUACUAUUUCACACCCAAGGUAUCCAUCUUUUCCUUCCUUCAUGCUCAUUCCUUCUCCAUGAUAGUUUCCUAAUGUCAAGAGUCAAGCAUCCUUGUUAAUCUCAGGACUGCAAGGAAACAGAUUUGGCUCUAAACAGGCUUCCUUCAAUUUGUAAAUAGCAGCAAUACAUAGAUUAAGAUACUACCCGAUAGUAUAGAAAUGUCUAAUGCUUGAAGAUGAUGCAUUCCAACAAUAAGUUUCUUUGUCAGAAAAUUUCACUAUCAAAAAAUAGGAGCAAUGUAGGC